rnacentral:rRNA from 1 species
CUCCGGUCAUAUUGGCGGUGGCGGAUCAACCCCGUGCGCCAAACUGUCCGCUCUAACAGACCGAAACGGUUCCCUGUGAGUAGGCCCCUUCAUUGGGGUCGAAAGCGCCUACGCAUCAACCAUAUGCAUACGGGACGUCGGUCAAAGUUACUGUGAACAAACCAGCGUGUCCAAAGCAGGCUUUCGCCUGAAUGUUCGAGCAUGGAAUAACAAGGGAUCGAUUCUCUCGGUUCUUUUUGUUGGUUUUUAACCCGAGAAUGAGUAAUUCAGGCCACGGUGUCUGAGUUGGGUUUCCCGAGGCUUCGGCUGAGGCCCCAAUUAGGCCGUGUCCUUACGGGAUCAAUAGGGACUGACGGGGUCGUACGUACUUCCGCGUCAGAGGUGAAAUUCUUAGAUCGCGGGAAGACGAACUUCUGCGAAAGCAUUCGACAAGAAUGUCUUCAUUAAUCAAGAACGAGAGUGUGGGGAUCGAAGAUGAUCAGAUACCGUCGUAGCCCACUACUGUAAACAAUGCCGUCUCAGGAUUGAGAAGUGAACUGAAUGACUUUCACAGCACUAACCCCUGAAACGAGAAAUCAAAGAUUAUGGGUUCAGGGGGGAGUACAUCCGCAAGGCUGAAACUUAAAGGAAUUGACGGAA